rnacentral:rRNA from 1 species
GAGACUUCGGUGGAUUUGAUUUAUUUCUAGUGGCGGACGGGUGAGUAACGCGUGGGUAACCUGCCUUAUACAGGGGGAUAACAGUCAGAAAUGGCUGCUAAUACCGCAUAAGCGCACAGAGCUGCAUGGCUCGGUGUGAAAAACUCCGGUGGUAUAAGAUGGACCCGCGUUGGAUUAGCUUGUUGGUGGGGUAACGGCCCACCAAGGCGACGAUCCAUAGCCGGCCUGAGAGGGUGAACGGCCACAUUGGGACUGAGACACGGCCCAGACUCCUACGGGAGGCAGCAGUGGGGAAUAUUGCACAAUGGGGGAAACCCUGAUGCAGCGACGCCGCGUGAAGGAAGAAGUAUCUCGGUAUGUAAACUUCUAUCAGCAGGGAAGAUAGUGACGGUACCUGACUAAGAAGCCCCGGCUAACUACGUGCCAGCAGCCGCGGUAAUACGUAGGGGGCAAGCGUUAUCCGGAUUUACUGGGUGUAAAGGGAGCGUAGACGGUGUGGCAAGUCUGAUGUGAAAGGCAUGGGCUCAACCCGUGGACUGCAUUGGAAACUGUCAUACUUGAGUGCCGGAGGGGUAAGCGGAAUUCCUAGUGUAGCGGUGAAAUGCGUAGAUAUUAGGAGGAACACCAGUGGCGAAGGCGGCUUACUGGACGGUAACUGACGC